rnacentral:tRNA from 1 species
GGAGAUAUAGCUCAGUGGUAGAGCACAUGCUUAGCAUGCAUGAGGACCUGGAUUCAAUCCCUAGUACCCCCA